rnacentral:lncRNA from 12 species
GUUCCAUUUUAGGCACCAUUGACAAGGAUGUACUAAAGCUACUGUGUGACGAUUUGCAGACACGUUCUGAGAACCUCAUUUCUGAGCUGAAAAGAGCUGUGGAAGUCAUGAAGUCUGAGCCUAGUACCUUUCACCAGUUUACAGUUUUUUCAAACACGGUAUUGACUUUGACAUACUGCUUUUCAGUACUGGUCGAUCAUUGUGAACUGCGGAGUAAUUAAUCAGCAUGAUUAUAUCCAGGUACAGCACAGUGAGAGGAUGUUAGGUGAUAUACAGCAGAGGCUGGAAGAUCUCCACUCUCUACAGGAGACUGUGAGAAGGAAUUAUACACACAUGGAUCCAAAUGACAUUCUUUCAUUGAAGCAGGUAGUUGACUUGUGGGAUCAGUUUGUUCAGCUCCUGAAACCAGCUGCAGACAUAGUUACCCAGCAGCUUCCUUCUAUGCUUGAUACACUGGACAAGAACAUUUCUUUAUUAGUGAACAAAUUAGACAACCUGGUUUCAAGAGCCACCUCUAGACUCUAUCUCGACCCUGACCAGAAUCCCAAGGAAAUGCUUGUCCAGCUGAAAGCAUUGUACAGUCAGUUCUACGUGAUUGCUGAGCAGCUGAAUGAUCAGAGCAGAGCCAGUGAAAUUCUGAGAGGUCACCUACUGGAUCUCACUUUUGUGACAGUAGCACGGCAGAAUAUGAAAGCAAGGAAAGGACUCUGGGAGCUGAUGAGCGUGUUGUCCACACAAAUCCAUGAGUGGAAGCUGCUUAAGUUCAAGAAGGUAUCAACACCAAACAGUUCUUUUAGAUUUUGCAUGUAUUUAUAAAACUUUACAGUACUUCUC